CACGACCUGCCUUGUACGUGUAGAUUUAUCUUGGUUUUGAUCCUAUAUGUUUUGAGGGAACCGAAAUGGUCCGUCGGUACAGGAAUCCCCUCAGGGGGAAGCUGGAAGAUGGGGCCUAGGCGCCCACCUGCGAGAGCAGGGUCAGAAACCUGGAGUCUCACGGCAAGGCGGGACAGGU
rfam:Peptococcaceae bacterium CEB3 CEB3_contig000047, whole genome shotgun sequence.